rnacentral:rRNA from 1 species
UAACGAAUAUUCCGCAAUGCGCGAAAGCGUGACGGAGCAAUGCCGCGUGCAGGAUGAAGCGGUUACGCCGUGUAAACUGCUGUCAGGGGUGAGGAAGAUCUGACCAACCCCAAAGGAAGGGCCGGCUAAUCUCGUGCCAGCAGCCGCGGUAAGACGAGAGGCCCGAGCGUUAAUCGGAAUCACUGGGCUUAAAGGGUGCGUAGGCGGAUCAGAAGGUGUGCCGUGAAAUCCCCCGGCUCAACCGGGGAACUGCGGUGCAAACCACUGGUCUUGAGGUAGGUAGAGGUCGUCGGAACGUUCGGUGGAGCGGUGAAAUGCGUAGAUAUCGAACGGAACGCCAAAGGUGAAGACAGGCGACUGGGCCUUACCUGACGCUGAGGCACGAAAGCGUGGGGAGCAAACAGGAUUAGAUACCCCCGUAGUCC